CCUCCACUCCCCUGGUAGGUCCCACAGGGCUGUGCCACACAGCCAGGAAUCUGCUGAAUCACCUUCCUAUUUUUCUCCACAGGCCAAAAGUCACCAGGGAAGAGGGAUCAGGAGACCUACCUGCUUAGAGAGUUCCAAAGAAAUGUUUAUCCCAAGUAACUUCAAAAGAAAACAUUCACAGAGGGAGAUUUCCACAGACAUUCGCUCAGACCCCAAAACCAACAGAUGGUACUCAUGUUCCUGUCUGUCGUCCCGUGUCCUCACUGAUGAAAGCGACAGCUCGAGAAACAGAUGCUAGUUGUCAAAGACAGCCGCGGUGCUGGGAAGGCCUGACUGCAGACUGGCGAUCAACUCUACAUCCUGUGAAAAACACUUUUCAUAGGCUUAAAAAAGAUCUGUGUUUAA